rnacentral:rRNA from 1 species
GACGAACGCUGGCGGCGUGCUUAACACAUGCAAGUCGAACGGAAAGGCCCUGCUUGCAGGGUGCUCGAGUGGCGAACGGGUGAGUAACACGUGGGUGAUCUGCCCCUUACUUUGGGAUAAGCCUGGGAAACUGGGUCUAAUACUGGAUAGGACCAUGCUGUAGGUGGUGUGGUGGAAAGAUUAGUUUCGGUAAGGGAUGAGCUCGCGGCCUAUCAGCUUGUUGGUGGGGUAAUGGCCUACCAAGGCGUCGACGGGUAGCCGGCCUGAGAGGGUGGACGGCCACAUUGGGACUGAGAUGCGGCCCAGACUCGUACGGGAGGCAGCAGUGGGGAAUAUUGCACAAUGGGCGCAAGCCUGAUGCAGCGACGCCGCGUGGGGGAUGACGGCCUUCGGGUUGUAAACUCCUUUCAGCCAUGACGAAGCCCUUGUGGUGACGGUAGUGGUAGAAGAAGCACCGGCUAACUACGUG